rnacentral:rRNA from 1 species
UACGUAGGGUGCAAGCGUUGUCCGGAAUUAUUGGGCGUAAAGAGCUCGUAGGCGGUCUGUCGCGUCGGAUGUGAAACCUCGGGGCUCAACCCCGAGCCUGCAUUCGAUACGGGCAGACUAGAGUUCGGUAGGGGGAGACUGGAAUUCCUGGUGUAGCGGUGAAAUGCGCAGAUAUCAGGAGGAACACCGGUGGCGAAGGCGGGGUCUCUGGGCCGAUACUGACGCUGAGGAGCGAAAAGCGUGGGGAGCGAACAGG